CAUAAUGCCGAUAAUGGAUGCCUAGGAGGUUUUGGCCGAGGAAGGACGCAUAUGGCGGCGAUACUCGUCGGGUAGGAGUCAUAAUCCUGUAAUCCGGCGGUUUCCGAAUCGAGCAAUCGACCGCGUCAAACGCGGGAACCAAACAUAAAAGUUCAGCCUUUGGCUGAUAAUAGUGUUUGGUAGGGUACCCGGGGAACUGAAACAUCUAAGUACCCGGAGGAAAAGAAAUCAUAGAGAUUCCCUAAGUAGCGGCGAGCGAAAAGGGAGAAGUCUAAACCGAGCUCAGCUCGGGGUUGCAGGGCAGACGAUAUUUGGUGUUUUAUAUAGCAGAACAGCUUGGAAUAGCUGACCAUAGAGGGUGAAAGUCCUGUAUGCGAAAUGUAAGACACUGAUAGUUUGUACCUAAGUACCAUGGAGGAAGUACUCUGUGGGAAUCUGGGGCGACCACGUUCCAAGACUAAAUACCAAGACCUACCGAUAGUGAACUAGUACCGUGAGGGAAAGGUGAAAAGCACCCCGGGAGGGGGAUGAAAUAGACCUGAAAUUGUCGGCUGACAAGCAGAGAGAGCCGGAGGACAGAGUACAGAAGUCAGAGGACAGAUUGCAGAGAAACAGAAGACAGAAGAUCAGGAUUAAAAUCUUGAUGUUUUGUAUCUCUGUCAUCUGAUAUCCGUCUUCCGUUAUUCUGUCUUCUGUCCUCUGGUGAUCUCGUGCCUAUUGAAGAAUGAACCGGUGAGUUAUCUUAGUGUGCGUUUAAGCUUAAGCCAGUUUCUGGCGGAGGCGUAGUGAAAGCAAGCUCUAACCGAGCUACUUAGUACAUUGGGAUAGACCCGAAACCGGGUGAGCUAACCUUGAGCAGGGUGAACCCCGAUGAAAGUCGGGGGAAGGCCCGCACUCGUAUCCGUAGCAAUGGGUUGAGAUGACUUGAGGUUAGAGGCAAUAUGCCAAACGAACCCGGAGAUAGCUGGUUCUCCCCGAAAUAUAUUUUGGUAUAGCGGGACGAUACAAUGAUCUAGGGGUAGAGCACUGAAUGGUCUUCGGCGGCGCAAGCUGUCGUAACCAAUCAAACUCCGAAUACUAGAUUAUAUUCGUUCUAGUCAGGCUGGUCGGGCUAAGCUGAUCAGUCAAAAGGGAAACAGCCCAGACUCCCAUCUAAGGCCUCUAAAUAAAGGCUAAGUUUUGAAGGAAGUUACAAUCCAGAGACAACCAGGAGGUUGGCUUAGAAGCAGCCAUCCUUUAAAGAAAGCGUAACAGCUCACUGGAGGAUGUCCACGUCUAACGUGGCAGGUUUGUAGCGCCGAAAAUGUAACGAGGAUUAAGCCUUUUGCCGAAGAUGGAGGUCCGCCUUUGGCGGACGGUAGGGGAGCGUUCGUAUUGCCGCGAAGCUGUGUUGUAAGGCAUGGUGGAGCGAUACGAAGUGAGAAUGCCGGUAUGAGUAGCGAGAUCCCGGUGAGAAACCGGGACGCCGAAAACCCAAGGUUUCCUCCGCACUGUAAGUCAGCGGAGGGUGAGUCGGCCCUAAGGGUGUUCCGAGCUAAUCUCGGGGUAACCCGAUGGACAAGUCGUUGAUAUUCGACUACAUAAGAGAAUGCGUUAUAACUCAAGGAUUGACCAGAGUGGAAGAGGAUUUGCCGCUAUAUGCGACACCAAGUUACAAAGUAGUUUUGAUUGGAAAAUCCGUCAGAGUGUCUAACUGAGUGGCGAUGGGAAGUUCCCGCGUCAAACGCGGGGACAACAUUCUAAGCUUUCAGUCCGCGAGAAAAGAUUCGUGAGGAGUGUUCUUUUAUUCCGUACCGUAAACCGACACAGGUGGGUUGGUCGAGAAGACUAAGGCGACCGGGAGACAGCAGAUCAAGGAACUCGGCAAAAAAACUGGGCGUAACCUUUGGGAGAUGCCCUGCCUUGUGCGGAGCACAAGGAAAUUCUAAGCACUAAUAUCUAAAUUCUAAAUAAUAUCAAAAUUACAAUGUUCAAAAUUCUAAAACGUUUGUAAAUUUGGAUUUUUGAAAGUGUAAUUUAUUUAGGAUUUAUGAUUUUGAAAUUAGGAUUUUCUUGCGUUCCGCGCGAGGCCACAGCAAAAGUUUAUUUAGCGACUGUUUAUCUAAAACAUAGGUCUCUGCAAAAGCGAAAGCUAACGUAUAGGGGCUGACACCUGCCCAGUGCUGGUAAGUUAAUCGUUGUGGGUGACCCUCGCAAGGGGGAGGCUCGCGGCGAAAGCUCCAGUGAACGGCAGCAGUAACUAUAACUGUUCUAUGGUAGAGUUUGAAAGAAAACUCCGCUGCCAUAGUGAGGUAUGUCCGCCAUUUGGUGGAAGAAUCCUCCAUUUCCCAUGUCUAGCCGAGGCAUGAAAAUGAAAAUCUGACCAUAUGCUGGAAAGUCUUGCAAUUCUGGAUCUACUAUGGUAACUUAGAAUUAUAGAUGAGUUCACCAAGUGACAAUGAUACCAGUAGAGAUAAUCAGCAGGAAAGACUUGGAACUGCAAAUUGGAUUGUAGGGUUUGUUGAUGGAGAAGGAUGUUUCUCUGUCUCAAUUUUUAAGAAUCUCAAAAGUUCUAAGAAUCCUCAGAGACUAUACGUCAGACUCCAAUAAAAACUGGGGAAGAUAUAGUCCAUUUAGAUUGAUUUGGCAAUCUGAUCGAGCGAAGUUCCUUGUCGGGCGAAAAGUUUGCGGGUCACGUAAGCUUGCCCGAAUGUAUCGAAAGAUACAGCACUUAGGAAUAGAACAAAAACAGUCGAGAAAGAGUUCUACAAAAGUAAAGUGCAAAAUCUGGCUAUAUGCUGGAAUUACUCUGUAUCCGACAGUACUUUAGAUCCUGAUAUCUAAGUCUAGGAUGAUAAGUAACAAUCUGUUUGGUGGAGUCAAUCAGCAGGGAAGACUCGCCUCAGGCGAGAACCCUCAGAGACUACAUGCCAGAAUUCCAUAAAGUGGAGGAUGAUAUAGUCCGAACUCAUAGGCGACUAUGAGACUUGAAAAAGCGAUCGA
rnacentral:rRNA from 1 species